rnacentral:rRNA from 1 species
CCCUUAGAUGUCCUGGGCUGCACGCGCGCUACACUGAUGUGUCCAGUAAGCACCUAACCUCUUCCGAAAGGAACGGGUAACCUUUGCAAAGCACAUCGUGAUGGGGAUAGAUUAUUGCAAUUAUUAGUCUUGAACGAGGAAUUCCUAGUAAGCACAAGUCAUCAGCUUGUGUUGAUUACGUCCCUGCCCUUUGUACACACCGCCCGUCGCUCCUACCGAUUGAAUGUUCCGGUGAGCUUUUCGGACUGCGCGGUCUGCAGUUUCUGCGUUCCGUGCGGAAAGUUGCGCAAACCUUAACAUUUAGAGGAAGGAGAAGUCGUAACA